AUUGAAAUAUCGCUUCUCAUAUGAUCACCGAAGUUAAGCAACGACGAGCCUGGUCAGUAUCUAGAAGGGUGACCGCUUUGGAAUACCAGGUGCUGUAAG